GAUGAACGCUGGCGGCAUGCCUAAUACAUGCAAGUCGAGCGAACACACAGGAAGCUCGCGCCUUUACCGGUGGCGGCGGACGGGUGAGUAACACAUGGAUCAGAUACCUAUGAGACUGGGGUAACUACGGGAAACCGGAGAUACUACCGGCGCAUAUUUUGAACCGCAUGAUUCAGUAGUUACAGGCAGUUUUGCUGACCCUUUUAGAUGAAUCCGAGCCGCAUUAGCUAUUUGGUAAGGUAACGGCUUACCGAGGCCACGAUGCGUAUCCGACCUGAGAGGGUGAUCCGCCACACUGGAACUGAGACACGGUCCAGACUCCUACGGGAGGCAGCAGUUGGGAAUCUGACGCAACGGGCGUAAGCAUGAUUGAGCAACGCCGCGUCAGUGACGAAGGCCUUCGGGUUGGAAAACAGUAUUUUUCGGCAAGAACAGACGACUAGGGAGAGCGCCAGGUCGUGACGGUACCUAAGAAAUAAGCCCCGGCUAACUGCGCG
rnacentral:rRNA from 1 species